rnacentral:rRNA from 2 species
CGGUGGUUUUAGCGAGAGGGAAACGCCCGGUCACAUUCCGAACCCGGAAGCUAAGCCUCUCAGCGCCGAUGGUACUGCAAGGGGGACCUUGUGGGAGAGUAGGACACCGCC